AUCCAGUUGACGAGUCCUAAAUAGGACGAAACGCGCGUCCUGGAU
rfam:Schistosoma mansoni strain Puerto Rico chromosome 1, complete genome